rnacentral:rRNA from 1 species
AGAGUUUGAUUAUGGCUCAGGAUGAACGCUAGCGACAGGCUUAACACAUGCAAGUCGAGGGGCAGCGGGGCGGCAGGCUUGCCUGCCGUUGCCGGCGACCGGCGCACGGGUGAGUAACACGUAUGCAACCUGCCCGUGGCAGGGGGAUAAGCGGGGGAAACCCCGUCUAAUACCGCGUAACGCGGCCUAGGGACAUCCCAAGGCCGCCAAAGGGAGCAAUCCCGGCCACGGAUGGGCAUGCGGCGCAUUAGCUAGUCGGCGGGGUAACGGCCCACCGAGGCGACGAUGCGUAGGGGUUCUGAGAGGAAGGCCCCCCACACUGGUACUGAGACACGGACCAAACUCCUACGGGAGGCAGCAGUGAGGAAUAUUGGUCAAUGGGCGCGAGCCUGAACCAGCCAAGUCGCGUGAGGGAGGACGGCCCUACGGGUUGUAAACCUCUUUUGCCGGGGAGCAACGGGCGCC